CCUACGGGUGGCUGCAGUGGGGAAUAUUGCACAAUGGGCGCAAGCCUGAUGCAGCCAUGCCGCGUGUGUGAAGAAGGCCUUCGGGUUGUAAAGCACUUUCAGCGGGGAGGAAGGCGUUAAGGUUAAUAACCUUGUCGAUUGACGUUACCCGCAGAAGAAGCACCGGCUAACUCCGUGCCAGCAGCCGCGGUAAUACGGAGGGUGCAAGCGUUAAUCGGAAUUACUGGGCGUAAAGCGCACGCAGGCGGUCUGUCAAGUCGGAUGUGAAAUCCCCGGGCUCAACCUGGGAACUGCAUUCGAAACUGGCAGGCUAGAGUCUUGUAGAGGGGGGUAGAAUUCCAGGUGUAGCGGUGAAAUGCGUAGAGAUCUGGAGGAAUACCGGUGGCGAAGGCGGCCCCCUGGACAAAGACUGACGCUCAGGUGCGAAAGCGUGGGGAGCGAACAGGAUUAGAUACCCUAGUAGUC
rnacentral:rRNA from 1 species